CACAGGGUCCCUGCUGGUGCCAGCCUGGAGUUCCCUCCCUGUGAGCUGUGCCCGGGAUGAUCCAUCAGAGCCUGGCACAUCCUGGCACGAGGCAGGGAGGGCACAGGAGCUUGGACGCGCUCCCAGCUGGCAGCAGGGUGUGACAGCCACAGCCAGCCCCUGCAGGGGAUGGAUGGAUGGAUGGGUGGAUGGAUGGAUGGAUGGAUGGAUGGAUGGAUGGAUGGAUGCAUGGAUGCAUGGAUGGAUGGAUGGAUGGAGCACAGCCAGAAACGCAGGAAUCCUGUGUCCCCUCCAAAGGACACGCUGCACAGCCGCCCCACAAGCCUGGGGAUGGAUUUUUCUGCUGCCUGGAGCACGGGCUGGAAAUGCCCCACUGUAAAGUGCCAGAUCCUGCCCUUGGAUUCUGCUUCCCAACAGCUCCAGGACAUCUCUGCAGCCACCCCAGGAGCCACUGAAUUAUUGUGCUCAGUGUUCAGCCUCUCACACCCCANCCUGUUCCUUUUCCUUGGGACAGAACCUCACUGCAGGCUCCCAGGGGAACAGUUAAUGUGAGGAAAUAAGGAAACCAAACCUGCCAAAGGAGAUUUCAGUGCUGUGGGUAAUCAGGGUGGCAGCUGCCUAUGGUCCCUGUCAGGUGGGAUGGAAAGGCAUUGUUAUGAAAAGGCUCCCUGGGUGAGGUUGGGACGCAGAUUUUAGGGUGGUAUUUGGGACUAUUCCCAAAGCUCCGCCUGUCUAAGGGAGGAAAGCGUGCAUGGAGACACUGGGAGUUAACCCAAGGGGUAGCAGAGGUGCUCUGGGGCUGAUGAACAGGGAGGUGAUGCCCCAGAGUCCCCCAAAAACACUGGCAGAGCUAAGCCCAGCCUUGUGUCUCUAACCCCAGGCCUUUGGGAAGGGGCUUUGCAAGAGCCAGCAAUUGGUUUUGAAUGGACCUAGGGAGAGUGAGAGCUGCUGAUAGCUUCCAAUUAGGGGGAAAAGGAAUUGUUUUCCCCGUGAUCUCAUCCCUAGGAAGCAGCCAAAAAUCCCCCAGAGCACCCUGGCUCAGAAAGGAGCUCAUUGUUCCCCUGUCUGCUGGCACAGGGAGGGGUGAGGAGCAGGUCAAGCAGGAAAAUGUGCUCCAGCACCCCCCAGGCCCCACAGCCUGCCCUGGGUGUGCUCCCAAACGUCCCCACCCAGGCAGGGCAGCAGCUCCAGGUGAUCCCCAGCUCCGGGGACC
rnacentral:lncRNA from 1 species